AGCAGCCGCGGUAAUUCCAGCUCCAAUAGCGUAUAUUAAAGUUGUUGCAGUUAAAAAGCUCGUAGUUGAAUUUCGGGGUUAGUAGGUUGGUCAUGCCUCUGGUGUGUACUGGUCUCACUGAUUCCUCCUUCCUGAUGAGCCGUAAUGCCAUUAAUUUGGUGUUGCGGGGAAUUUGGACUGUUACUUUGAAAAAAUUAGAGUGUUUAAAGCAGGCUCACGCUUGAAUACAUUAGCAUGGAAUAAUGAAAUAGGACGUUUGAUUCUAUUUUGUUGGUUUCUAGGAUCGACGUAAUGAUUAAUAGGGAUAGUUGGGGGCAUUAGUAUUCAAUUGUCAGAGGUGAAAUUCUUGGAUUUAUUGAAGACUAACUACUGCGAAAGCAUUUGCCAAGGAUGUUUUCAUUAAUCAAGAACGAAAGUUAGGGGAUCGAAGACGAUCAGAUACCGUCGUAGUCUUAACCAUAAACUAUGCCGACUAGGGAUCGGAUGAUGUUAAUUUUUAAUGUACUCAUUCGGCGCCUUA
rnacentral:rRNA from 1 species